rnacentral:rRNA from 1 species
UACAGAGGGUGCGAGCGUUAAUCGGAAUUACUGGGCGUAAAGCGUGCGUAGACGGUUAUGUAAGUCAGGUGUGAAAGCCCCGGGCUCAACCUGGGAAUUGCAUUUGAGACUGCAUAGCUAGGGUGCGGAAGAGGGAAGCGGAAUUUCCGGUGUAGCGGUGAAAUGCGUAGAUAUCGGGAGGAACACCAGUGGCGAAGGCGGUUGCCUGGAGCUUUGCUGACGCUGAGGCGCGAAAGCGUGGGGAGCAAACAGG